AUUGAACGCUGGCGGCAGGCCUAACACAUGCAAGUCGAGCGGAUGAAGGGAGCUUGCUCCUGGAUUCAGCGGCGGACAGGUGAGUAAUGCCUAGGAGUCUGCCUGGUAGUGGGGGAUAACGUCCGGAAACGGGCGCUAAUACCGCAUACGUCCUGAGGGAGAAAGUGGGGGAUCUUCGGACCUCACGCUAUCAGAUGAGCCUAGGUCGGAUUAGCUAGUUGGUGGGGUAAAGGCCUACCAAGGCGACGAUCCGUAACUGGUCUGAGAGGAUGAUCAGUCACACUGGAACUGAGACACGGUCCAGACUCCUACGGGAGGCAGCAGUGGGGAAUAUUGGACAAUGGGCGAAAGCCUGAUCCAGCCAUGCCGCGUGUGUGAAGAAGGUCUUCGGAUUGUAAAGCACUUUAAGUUGGGAGGAAGGGCAGUAAGUUAAUACCUUGCUGUUUUGACGUUACCAACAGAAUAAGCACCGGCUAACUUCGUG
rnacentral:rRNA from 1 species